CUCCUACGGGAGGCAGCAGCAGGGAAUCUUGCGCAAUGGGCGAAAGCCUGACGCAGCGACACCGCGUGGGGGAUGAAGGCCUUCGGGUUGUAAACCCCUUUCAGGAGGGAUGAAAUUGACAGUACCUCCACAAGAAGGACCGGCCAACUACGUGCCAGCAGCCGCGGUAAUACGUAGGGUCCGAGCGUUAUCCGGAAUCAUUGGGCGUAAAGAGCUCGUAGGCGGUUCAGCAAGUCGGCUGUGAAAGUUCGAGGCUCAACCUCGAAAUUGCAGUCGAUACUGCUGUGACUCGAGUCCGGUAGAGGAGAAUGGAAUUCCCGGUGUAGCGGUGAAAUGCGCAGAUAUCGGGAGGAACACCAGUAGCGAAGGCGGUUCUCUGGGCCGGCACUGACGCUGAGGAGCGAAAGCGUGGGGAGCAAACAGGAUUAGAUACCCUGGUAGUCCACGCCGUAAACGUUGGAUACUAGGUGUGGCGUCCCGAUUAACGGUCGCCGUGCCGAAGCUAACGCAUUAAGUAUCCCGCCUGGGGAGUACGGCCGCAAGGCUAAAACUCAAAGGAAUUGACGG
rnacentral:rRNA from 1 species